AUUGAACGCUGGCGGCAUGCCUUACACAUGCAAGUCGAACGGCAGCACGGGAGCAAUCCUGGUGGCGAGUGGCGAACGGGUGAGUAAUAUAUCGGAACGUGCCCAGUCGUGGGGGAUAACGUAGCGAAAGCUACGCUAAUACCGCAUACGAUCUAUGGAUGAAAGCGGGGGAGUCGCAAGACCUCGCGCGAUUGGAGCGGCCGAUAUCAGAUUAGGUAGUUGGUGGGGUAAAAGCCUACCAAGCCUUCGAUCUGUAGCUGGUCUGAGAGGACGACCAGCCACACUGGAACUGAGACACGGUCCAGACUCCUACGGGAGGCAGCAGUGGGGAAUUUUGGUACAAUGGGCGCAAGCCUGAUCCAGCAAUGCCGCGUGCGGGAU
rnacentral:rRNA from 1 species